GACGAACGCUGGCGGCGUGCUUAACACAUGCAAGUCGAACGGAAAGGCCCUGCUUUUGUGGGGUGCUCGAGUGGCGAACGGGUGAGUAACACGUGAGUAACCUGCCCUUGACUUUGGGAUAACUUCAGGAAACUAGGGCUAAUACCGGAUAGGAGCUCCUGCUGCAUGGUGGGGGUUGGAAAGUUUCGGCGGUUGGGGAUGGACUCGCGGCUUAUCAGCUUGUUGGUGGGGUAGUGGCUUACCAAGGCUUUGACGGGUAGCCGGCCUGAGAGGGUGACCGGCCACAUUGGGACUGAGAUACGGCCCAGACUCCUACGGGAGGCAGCAGUGGGGAAUAGUGCACAAUGGGCGGAAGCCUGAUGCAGCAACGCCGCGUGCGGGAUGACGGCCUUCGGGUUGUAAACCGUUUUCGCCUGUGACGAAGCGUGAGUGACGGUAAUGGGUAAAGAAGCACCGGCUAACUACGUG
rnacentral:rRNA from 1 species